rnacentral:rRNA from 1 species
AUUGAACGCUGGCGGCAUGCUUUACACAUGCAAGUCGGACGAGUGGCGAACGGGUGAGUAACGCAUCGGAACGUACCGAGUAGAGGGGGAUAACUGUCCGAAAGGAAAGCUAAUACCGCAUAUUAUUGGAGCGGCCGAUGUAGGAUUAGCUGGUUGGGGGGGUAAAGGCCCACCAAGGCGACGAUCAGUAGCGGGGCUGAGAGGAUGAUCCGCCACACUGGGACUGAGCCACGCCCCAGACUCCUACGUGAGGCAGCAGUGGGGAAUUUUCGACAAUGGGCGCAAGCCUGAUCCAGCCAUGCCGCGUGUCUGAAGAAGUCCUUCGGGUUGUAAAGGUCUUUUGUCAGGGAAGCGGUACCUUAAGAAUAAGCACCGGCUAACUACGUGCCAGCAGCCGCGGUAAUUC